rnacentral:rRNA from 1 species
CCUACGGGAGGCAGCAGUGAGGAAUAUUGGUCAAUGGGCGCAAGCCUGAACCAGCCAAGUCGCGUGAGGGAUGACGGUCCUAUGGAUUGUAAACCUCUUUUGUCGGGGAGCAAGGCCCGCCACGUGUGGCGGGAAGGAGAGUACCAGAAGAAAAAGCAUCGGCUAACCUCGUGCCAGCAGCCGCGGUAAUACGGAGGAUGCGAGCGUUAUCCGGAUUUAUUGGGUUUAAAGGGUGCGUAGGCGGAAGGUUAAGUCAGCGGUAAAAUGUCGGUGCUCAACACCGGCCUGCCGUUGAAACUGGUCUUCUUGAGUGAGCGAGAAGUAUGCGGAAUGCGUGGUGUAGCGGUGAAAUGCAUAGAUAUCACGCAGAACUCCGAUUGCGAAGGCAGCAUACCGGCGCUCAACUGACGCUGAGGCACGAAAGCGUGGGGAUCGAACAGGAUUAGAUACCCCUGUAGUC